rnacentral:lncRNA from 1 species
AUGUCUCUGAAAAUGUUUCAAAUUUUGGUGUCUGUUCUGCUGUUUACAGCUUCUGUUUCAAGUGUCCUUGGAGCACCCUUUCUGACAGAAGAAUCAGCAAAUCAAUUCAUACGGCUCAAACGACACAUCCUAUAUUCUCCGAGCUACUGGGACUCAAGCAGCAGCCAGAACACGUGGGGAUACAGACAUGUGGCUGAACAGGUUAGUGAAUCGUGGGCAGCCUUGAAAGAAACAGCACAAUACUACAUGGACUUGGACCCUUUUGCCUUCGAUCCCUCGACAGCCGUGUUCGAUGGGGUUUCUGAGCAGAGCAUUUCAUAGACUCGGAGCCUGUGUGUACCAAAAAACAAUUUAUUCCAUCUUUUUUAGCAACAAGAUCAGAUCCUACAUGGAGCUACUACAGCAGUCUGGGACUCACCUCCAGCAACAAGCUAUUAAAUCCUACACAUCUUGUAUCUGGCCAUGUUAGGAUAUGGCAUGUUAUGGAUUUGCCAUUAUGUAUUGAUAAGAUGACUUUAUCUCAUCCCACUUGGGUCUAAACCCAAAAUUAAUACAGUAAUUCUCUGCAUAAAUACUGCAUAUUUUAUAUUCAUAUGCAGAACUGAGACAUUGGUCAUGACAAAUUGAAUAAAAAGUUGAAGAAAACCA